AUGGACGAGCUGCGGCACCAGGUCAUGAUCAACCAGUUCAUGCUGGCCACGGGCUGCGCUGCCGACCAGGCGCAGCAGCUGCUGCAGGCGGCACAGUGGCAGUUCGAGACCGCCCUGAGCGCGUUCUUCCAGGAAAGCAACAGUCCCAACAGCCACCACAACCCUCAGAUGAUGUGUACUCCCAGCAACACCCCUGCCACACCACCCAACUUCCCUGAUGCACUAGCCAUGCUCUCCAAGCUUCCAGCCUCUGAGGGCCUGCAGAACAGCAACAGCCCCAUGACAGCUGUGGCCUGCUCUCCCCCCCCCCUUGCAAACUUCAGCCCCUUCUGGGCCGCAUCCCCACCCAACCACCAGACGCCCUGGAUCCCACCCUCUUCCCCCAACUCCUUCCAUCAUCUCCACUGCCCACAGACCACGUGCCCCCCUGGUGCAUCACAAUGGGGCGCCCAGCAGAAAGCCAUGGCAGCAGUGGAUGGCCAGAAAUGA